AUAAAAACCCUGUUUGCCACUGUUCGGGGCCCCACCUUGCUGCUGCUGCACCGGGAGACAGCUAACAGUUACUGAGCCCUUACCACGUGCCAGAUGUGGUAAUGUCAUUGAAAUCAUGUAACACCCUCAUGAGUGGACAACCAGCAAGUGAAGAUGCUCAAGCAAAUGACCUGAAGUCAGAAACAGGGUUUGAUGCGACAU